rnacentral:piRNA from 1 species
UUAUCGAUAAGAAAGCUUACCUUUCCUAAA